AUUGAACGCUGGCGGCAUGCCUUACACAUGCAAGUCGAACGGCAGCAUGACGUGUAGCAAUACACGUUGAUGGCGAGUGGCGAACGGGUGAGUAAUAUAUCGGAACAUGUCCUGUAGCGGGGGAUAACCUAUCGAAAGAUGGACUAAUACCGCAUACGCUCUAUGGAGGAAAGCGGGGGUCGCAAGACCUCGCACUAUAGGAGUGGCCGANAUCGGAUUAGCUAGUUGCGGGUAAAGCCACCAAGGCGACGAUCCGUAGCUGGUCUGAGAGGAUGAUCAGGCCACACUGGAACUGAGACACGGUCCAGACUCCUACGGGAGGCAGCAGUGGGAAUUUUGGACAUAGGGCGCAAGCCUGAUCCAGCCAUG
rnacentral:rRNA from 1 species